rnacentral:rRNA from 1 species
UACCAGCACCCCGAGUGGUCGGGACGAUUAUUGGGCCUAAAGCAUCCGUAGCCGGUCCUGCAAGUCUUCCGUUAAAUCCAGCUGCUCAACAGAUGGGCUGCGGGGGAUACUACAUGGCUAGGAGGCGGGAGAGGCAAGCGGUACUUUAUGGGUAGGGGUAAAAUCCGUUGACCCAUAGAAGACCACCAGUGGCGAAGGCGGCUUGCCAGAACGCGCUCGACGGUGAGGGAUGAAAGCUGGGGGAGCGAACCGGAUUAGAUACCCGGGUAGUCCCAGCUGUAAACGAUGCAGGCUAGGUGUUUGGGCGGCCACGUGCCGCUCUAGUGCCGCAGAGAAGUCGUUAAGCCUGCCGCCUGGGGAGUACGGCCGCAAGGCUGAAACUUGAAGGAAUUGGCGGGGAGCACCACAAGGGGUGAAGCUUGCGGUUU